rnacentral:lncRNA from 1 species
UUAAGUCUCUUCUUUUCGUUUAUAUACUUUUGUAAAUAUGUAACAUAACUUUGUUUUGGGUCUUGUAUUUAGCCAAAGAACAUUCUUUAGUAUAUGGUUUAGGACCUUGGUUCAAUUAAGAGGUAAUUAGUUCCUCACUUAGGACCUUAAGACUUAAUUAGUGUCACUUUUGGGCUUAAAUGGGCCUUGAAGGAGCUUAGACUUGGUUGGAAGAAGCCUUGGUCGAUCACAUCAAGGGGAGGCUCCCAUGCAAUUUAUUUGGACGGUUAGUUGAGAAGGAGGGCUCCCAUUCUUCCACCCUUUCCAAGUGAAGCUUCUAGGCUCUUUUAGGAUUCAAUGUAUUCUAGGUUUCUCCUUCACCUAUAUAAGAGGAGAGACAUCCCUCUUGUAAUUCUAGGAACAUUAUUGAAUGUAGAGAAACAUUGUCAGAUUUGCAAGCCUCUCUUCUUAGUUCUAAUUAGAGUAGUCCUUAUUCUAGAAUUCUUCUUCCUUUUCCCUUCAAGGUUGGCCAAACAUCCUUCAAGAACCUUCAGCAAACCGCAAACUUCAAACCAAUCUUCAUCUCUUCUACAAGGCGUCAUCUCAUCUCCAUGGAGCUUCAUCAAGAAGGUUGAAGGAGCAUCUCCAUCAACUCCUUUUUCUAAUACUCCUUGAAACGUUAAUGAUCAUUUUUACAUGAGUAAUGGUAUGAUGACACAUAUUGAUAUUCAUUUGACACAUUGUAAGAGAAAAAUAAUCAUAAAAAAGUAAACUUUUAUAUUUUUAAAAUAAAAGAGAAAAAAAGUAAUGAAAAAUAGUAUCAAAUGAAUCUAAAAUUUGUGUUAAGUACUAUUACUCUUUUUACAUCAACCGAGGUAGCUUCUUCUGUAACAUGCGAGAAUCGGAUGCAUCUCUCAAAAGGACUAGAAUAACGUGCGUCAAAACGUUAUUUCAGGAAGAAAAUUAGUUACAACACGUGUUGCUGCUCAGUGGACUAAGGUACAAUCGCAAUGACGCAACCCAACGACUGAGAGUCCCUUCCCUCGGAAUAUUCAAGUGCAUGGCAAGUCUAAUCCACAAAAGGAUAAACGACAGGCAUAUGCAUACCCUACUACGUUGCUCGCAUCAUUGGGUCUUACACAAUGAACAAGGAAGAGUUUGCACGACAAGCUGUGAAAUCAGGUGUGAUACCUCCAUUGCUAGACCUUCUUAGAGGGAAGAUGAGUUGAGUUGUGCAAAGAGAUGCUGUUAGAGCACUUGGUCAUUUGGCCCGUUGCAAAAGCACGUUUGAAUCAGUACUACAACAGGAGCAAGAGGUAGCGAAGUUCGCCUUGAAAAAAAGGCUUGAGUAUCACAGAAACUUGCUUACUAGAGGGGUUGGGGAUUUGGAGAUGGAGAAUUGCAAGGAAGAAGAAUGGGCUACCCAACUUUAGUGUUGGUGUAUUUAUCUCCUGAAUUGCUUUGCUCCUCUGUAAUCUUAAGAAAUUCCUCAGAGCUGUAUGCCAUAGUGCAUUUGAAAGAUAUUCCCUAACAGACAAAAGUUCUCAAACAUGGUUUGUGAACAACCCUGAGUGAGCUGUCUCGUUGCUGACAAUGACAUGCUUAAGGAUGUGUAUCUUUUCU